rnacentral:rRNA from 1 species
ACGGGUGAGUAAUGUCUGGGAAACUGCCCGAUGGAGGGGGAUAACUACUGGAAACGGUAGCUAAUACCGCAUAACGUCGCAAGACCAAAGAGGGGGACCUUCGGGCCUCUUGCCAUCGGAUGUGCCCAGAUGGGAUUAGCUUGUAGGUGAGGUAACGGCUCACCUAGGCGACGAUCCCUAGCUGGUCUGAGAGGAUGACCAGCCACACUGGAACUGAGACACGGUCCAGACUCCUACGGGAGGCAGCAGUGGGGAAUAUUGCACAAUGGGCGCAAGCCUGAUGCAGCCAUGCCGCGUGUAUGAAGAAGGCCUUCGGGUUGUAAAGUACUUUCAGCGGGGAGGAAGGGAGUGAGGUUAAUAACCUUAUUCAUUGACGUUACCCGCAGAAGAAGCACCGGCUAACUCCGUGCCAGCAGCCGCGGUAAUACGGAGGGUGCGAGCGUUAAUCGGAAUUACUGGGCGUAAAGCGCACGCAGGCGGUCUGUCAAGUCGGAUGUGAAAUCCCCGGGCUCAACCUGGGAACUGCAUUCGAAACUGGCAGGCUGAAGUCUUGUAGAGGGGGGUAGAAUUCCAGGUGUAGCGGUGAAAUGCGUAGAGAUCUGGAGGAAUACCGGUGGCGAAGGCGGCCCCCUGGACAAAGACUGACGCUCAGGUGCGAAAGCGUGGGGAGCAAACAGGAUUAGAUACCCUGGUAGUCCACGCUGUAAA